rnacentral:rRNA from 1 species
AUUGAACGCUGGCGGCAGGCCUAACACAUGCAAGUCGAACGACUGGCGGACGGGUGAUUAAUGUCUGGGAAACUGCCCGCUGGAGGGGGAUAACUACUGGAAACGGUAGCUAAUACCGCCUACCAUCGGAUGUGCCUAGAUGGGAUUAGCUAGUAGGUGGGGUAACGGCUCACCUAGGCGCCGAUCCCUAGCUGGUCUGAGAGGAUGACCAGCAACACGGGAACUGGGACACGGACCAGACGCCUAAGGGAGGCAGCAGUGGGAAAUAUUGGACAAGGGGCGCAAGCCUGAUGCAGCCAAGGCGCGUGUAUGAAGAAGGCCUUCGGGUUGUAAAGUACUUUCAGCGAGGAGGCGUUACUCGCAGAAGAAGCACCGGCUAACUCCGUGCCAGCAGCCGCGGUAAUAC